rnacentral:rRNA from 1 species
UAGGAAUCUUCCACAAUGGACGCAAGUCUGAUGGAGCAACGCCGCGUGAGUGAAGAAGGUUUUCGGACCGUAAAGCUCUGUUGUUGGUGAAGAAGGAUAGAGGUAGUAACUGGCCUUUAUUUGACGGUAAUCAACCAGAAAGUCACGGCUAACUACGUGCCAGCAGCCGCGGUAAUACGUAGGUGGCAAGCGUUGUCCGGAUUUAUUGGGCGUAAAGCGAGCGCAGGCGGAAGAAUAAGUCUGAUGUGAAAGCCCUCGGCUUAACCGAGGAAUUGCAUCGGAAACU